rnacentral:rRNA from 1 species
UGAGGAAUAUUGGGCAAUGCCCGCAAGGGUGACCCAGCAACGCCGCGUGGAGGAUGAAUGUCGUAAGAUUGUAAACUCCUGUUAGAGGGGAAGAAUAGUACCGGUUGGACCGGUAUAUGACUGUACCCUCAGAGAAAGCCCCGGCUAACUUCGUGCCAGCAGCCGCGGUAAUACGAAGGAUGCAAGCGUUAUCCGGAAUUAUUGGGUUUAAAGGGUGCGUAGGCGGACUAAUAAGUCAGUGGUGGAAGCCUGCAGCUUAACUGCAGAAUUGCCAUUGAUACUGUUAGUCUUGAGUACAGUUGAGGUAGGCGGAAUGUGUCAUGUAGCGGUGAAAUGCUUAGAUAUGACACAGAACACCGAUUGCGAAGGCAGCUUGCUAAGCUGUAACUGACGCUGAGGCACGAAAGCGUGGGGAGCAAACA